AUUGAACGCUGGCGGCAUGCCUUACACAUGCAAGUCGAACGGCAGCACGGGUGCUUGCCCCUGGUGGCGAGUGGCGAACGGGUGAGUAAUACAUCGGAACAUGUCCUGUAGUGGGGGAUAGCCCGGCGAAAGCCGGAUUAAUACCGCAUACGAUCUACGGAUGAAAGCGGGGGACCUUCGGGCCUCGCGCUAUCGGGUUGGCCGAUGGCUGAUUAGCUAGUUGGUGGGGUAAAGGCCUACCAAGGCGACGAUCAGUAGCUGGUCUGAGAGGACGACCAGCCACACUGGGACUGAGACACGGCCCAGACUCCUACGGGAGGCAGCAGUGGGGAAUUUUGGACAAUGGGCGAAAGCCUGAUCCAGCAAUGCCGCGUGUGGGAAGAAGGCCUUCGGGUUGUAAAGCACUUUUGUCCGGAAAGAAAUCCUUGGCCCUAAUACGGUCGGGGGAUGACGGUACCGGAAGAAUAAGCACCGGCUAACUACGUG
rnacentral:rRNA from 1 species